AUUUGUCAAGGAGAUGCGAGACCUGUUCUCAUAUAAAACCGACUAAAGUGACGAUACGGGAGUUUUGAUCAGUUAUCGGUGUUGAAGACCUAUUUUUAAUAGGGAUCCUAAUGAUAGCGUAAGAACACCCACCUGUAAAUAUGCAGGUUUUAUCGUUGGACAGAACGCUUUCCUUGAUUUUUU
rnacentral:other from 1 species